GAUAGGUCGGGUGUGGAAGCACAGUAAUGUGUGUAGCUAACCGAUACUAAUAGCUCGAUUGGUUUACUUUGCUGUGAGAUUACAUAUGCAUAUAGUGUUAAUGUUAUAAGAGUGUAGUAUCUACUCACAAAGUUAUCAGGUUAAAUAGUUUUAUCAACUAAUAAAAAUGUUAUUGCAUAACUAAUGUUAUAUACUGUAGCCCUGCCACGAUAUCCAGCGAGAAUUAUUUUGCUGAGUAUCGUAGUAAAAGUUAAGAUAUGAUGUUGAGAAUUUUUUUGAGCCGUGCAACAACAUUAACAGCAAACUAUAAUACAAAUCUAUCUUUUUAAAAGUUUGUAUUGCUAGCUUGGUGGUUAUAGCAUGAGUGAAACACACGAUCCCACCCCGAA
rnacentral:misc_RNA from 1 species